UCUGGUUGAUCCUGCCAGACCCGACUGCUAUCAGAAUAGGACUAAGCCAUGCGAGUCAACGUAGCAAUACGUGGCAUACGGCUCAGUAACACGUAGUCAACAUGCCCAGGGGACGUGGAUAACCUCGGGAAACUGAGGAUAAACCGCGAUAGGUCAUAGUAUCUGGAAUGAUUUAUGGCUCAAAUCUACAUGGCCUCUGGAUUGGACUGCGGCCGAUCAGGCUGUUGGUGAGGUAAUGGCCCACCAAACCUAAAACCGGUACGGGCUCUGAGAGGAGAAGCCCGGAGAUGGGCACUGAGACAAGGGCCCAGGCCCUAUGGGGCGCAGCAGGCGCGAAACCUCUGCAAUAGGCGAAAGCCUGACAGGGUUACUCUGAGUGAUUUCCGCUAAGGAAAUCUUUUGGCACCUCUAAAAAUGGGGCAGAAUAAGGGGUGGGCAAGCCUGGUGUCAGCCGCCGCGGUAAUACCAGCACCCCGAGUGGUCGGGACGAUUAUUGGGCCUAAAGCAUCCGUAGCCGGUUCUACAAGUCUUCCGUUAAAUCCACCUGCUCAACAGAUGGGCUGCGGAGGAUACUAUAGAGCUAGGAGGCGGGAGAGGCAAGCGGUACUUAGUGGGUAGGGGUAAAAUCCGUUGAUCCAUUGAAGACCACCAGUGGCGAAGGCGGCUUGCCAGAACGCACUCGACGGUGAGGGAUGAAAGCUGGGGGAGCAAACCGGAUUAGAUACCCGGGUAGUCCC
rnacentral:rRNA from 1 species